GUAUGUGUGUGUGUGUAUGUGUGUGUGUAUGUGUGUGUGUAUGUGUGUAUGUGUGUGUGUGUGUGUCUGUAGUUUGUAAUAAAAACAAGUGGAAAAAAGGUUUGGUAAGGGCCAAGCUUCCACAAUAUCUUUUUAAACAAUCUAUCAAGUCCAGGAAAGAGAGCCACCCACUCUCAGACCGUGGGUCCUCUCCUCCCUUCUAUUUGUUGUGAGAGGAAGAUGUUACCCUGUAAUUCCAUAGUCCCAGAUCCCCUACCCCUACGAAGCCCCAAAUAUUUCUCUAAGCUACAUCAACCCAGAAAACAAGGAAAGAGGUGCAUUCUCCGAGGGUGGGGCCACUCCCUGUGCUGAUCUAGGGUAAAGGGCUGGCUUUUGGCCCCAAGCCCAAGAGUCCUCUUUGCAUGCCAAAGACUGCUCCUGCGCUGAGCCUGUGAGGAUGGAUAACUGCCAGGGUCUGGGCUGGGCACUGACAGUGUUGAGCCUAGCUCUUGGCUCCCGAGCCCACGCCUCCGCCUCAGGGCCAGACAGAGCCCUGGUUUGGAACUCCUUUCCCCACACCCCCUUGAAGCCCUGAGAUAUCAGCGCUUCUUAACUGCACUUGGGAAUGGGGAGGAGUGGUUAAAGGGACCACAACCAAAUUGCCUCUCUCAGAGGGAAGACAUUUUCAAGAGGCAGAGAGUUCAAGUGAAUGAAGGAGUUUCACAGUUGAGUUAAUGUGAAGAAGACGUCAUCCCAGAGGGUCUUGUGAAUGGUUUGUGAAUAUUGCCAAUAACAUCUGUUUCCUCCUUAACACCUUAGGGGGUUUGUUUAGAGGGAUCCUUUGGCCUUGAUUGAAAAGAUGAAGCCUGAGAACCUUCGCUUCCCUGGGCCACAGACCCUCCUCACGCCCGAAUAGUCUACACCCUGGGUGACAGAUGACUUAGUCCAGUCUGGAGGGCAGGGGGCCUACCUCUGUGCCCAGAGCUCCCUUCAAGGACCUCACCCUCAGAGUCCCACCCACCAGCCAAUGAGGACUCGGGGAAGUGAGGUCACUGCAUCCUGAUUCCCGGCCCAACAAGGGAGACUAAGACUUGGAGGGGGUAGUAACUAGCAGAUGCCACCACCGAUGUUGGUAAAGAAGUAUCGAAGGGCAAAUGAGUCAGCAGUAGGUUUAAGCAAUGAACAGUUGCACCACGGGGUGUUUCUCAAAUUCUUGUCUACUUUUAGAAAGUACGCAAUGCCAUUCAGUGGGCACCGUGAUUCUGAAAUAGCUGCGAAAAUGUUAAAAAUGCUGUGGGCAAAGAUGUGCCCUCAUUGACCUCUUUCUGAAAACAAUAGUCCACAAUUGUGUGGCGCGCCCUUCAGCAGCCUGGCUGCUCCCUCUGAUCCUUGUUGGUGACAUGAAGGGAAUGCAUGAAACUCUCUCUCUGGAGGCUCCUUCCAGCCUCGAAUUCUGAUACCUGACACUAGGCCCACAUUCCUGAUACUCCGGCUGCAUCUCUACAGGACCAAGACCACCAAGCCAAUCGGGCUACAAGGAAGUGAGUCCAAGAACCAAGAAGGCAAAGUCUCCUUUAGAGGUGUUGGAAGGGGUUGAAAAGGGUCCUUAGACAUCAGAGAUCAAGGCUAGAGAGCAGUUGUAGACAGAGAAUUCUGAAAAAAAAAAUGACACACACCUCAGGAAGUUGAAAGAUUCAGAGUCGAUGGACUCUACCUGGCUGAAGAAGAACACAAUAGGACUCGGAGAUCCUGACUGACACUCACCUGUGUGUCUGUGUUUCCUUCAGUCUGCAUAUCCUAUUUUGAAUUGAUAUUUGAGUUUAAUAUUCUUUAUUCUUAGUUGCUUUAAUAAAAAGUGCUGUUUCCAUUUA